CGUAGGGUGCGAGCGUUAAUCGGAAUUACUGGGCGUAAAGCGUGCGCAGGCGGUUUUGUAAGACAGAUGUGAAAUCCCCGGGCUCAACCUGGGACCUGCAUUUGUGACUGCAAGGCUAGAGUACGGUAGAGGGGGAUGGAAUUCCGCGUGUAGCAGUGAAAUGCGUAGAUAUGCGGAGGAACACCGAUGGCGAAGGCAAUCCCCUGGACCUGUACUGACGCUCAUGCACGAAAGCGUGGGGAGCAAACAGGAUUAGAUACCCUGGUAGUCCACGCCCUAAACGAUGUCAACUGGUUGUUGGGUCUCUACUGACUCAGUAACGAAGCUAACGCGUGAAGUUGACCGCCUGGGGAGUACGGCCGCAAGGUUG
rnacentral:rRNA from 1 species